rnacentral:rRNA from 1 species
GGAAGGGAUGUAUUUAUUAGAUUAAAAACCAAUGCCCUUCGGGGCUCCUUGGUGAUUCAUGAUAACUCUUCGAAUCGCAUGGCCUUGUGCCGGCGAUGGUUCAUUCAAAUUUCUUCCCUAUCAACUUUCGAUGUUUGGGUAUUGGCCAAACAUGGUUGCAACGGGUAACGGAGGGUUAGGGCUCGACCCCGGAGAAGGAGCCUGAGAAACGGCUACUACAUCCAAGGAAGGCAGCAGGCGCGCAAAUUACCCAAUCCCGACACGGGGAGGUAGUGACAAUAAAUACUGAUACAGGGCUCUUUUGAGUCUUGUAAUUGGAAUGAGUACAAUUUAAAUCCCUUAACGAGGAACAAUUGGAGGGCAAGUCUGGUGCCAGCAGCCGCGGUAAUUCCAGCUCCAAUAGCGUAUAUUAAAGUUGUUGCAGUUAAAAAGCUCGUAGUUGAACCUUGGGCCUGGCUGGCCGGUCCGCCUCACCGCGUGCACUGGUCCGGCCGGGCCUUUCCUCCUGGGGAGCCGCAUGCCCUUCACUGGGUGUGUCAGGGAACCAGGACUUUUAC